rnacentral:rRNA from 1 species
UACAGAGGUGUCAAACGUUGUCCGGAAUUACUGGGCGUAAAGGGCGCGUAGGCGGUCCUAUAAGUCAGAUGUGAAAGCUCCGGGCUCAACCCGGGAAUUGCAUCUGAUACUGUAGGACUUGAGUUCGGUAGAGGAGGGCGGAAUUCCAGGUGUAGCGGUGAAAUGCGUAGAUAUCGAGAGGAACACCUGCGGCGAAGGCGGGUUGCUGGGCUGACACUGACGCUGAGGCGCGAAAGCUAGGGGAGCAAACGGG